ACUUGGUGGGGGUUUUAUUCUUGUCAUGAUUCCGUGUUCCGUGUUUCAUGUUGUAUUACGAAUCUGUGUGCUUUCCACUGCUUUCCUCUGCUUUAUAUUACUUAUGGGUGCCGUAUUUAUGUUAUGUAAUCUGCUUCUGUGAUGCACUAUGUGUUUGUGUGGUAUCGCGUGCCUUGAGCCGAGGGUCUAUCGGAAACAACCUUUCUACUUCAUCAGAGGUAGAGGUAUGGACUGCGUACAUCUUACCCCCCCCAGACCCCACUAGGUGGGAAUACACUGGGUUUGUUGUUGUUGUUGUUG
rnacentral:lncRNA from 1 species